rnacentral:rRNA from 1 species
UACGUAGGGCGCAAACGUUGUCCGGAAUUAUUGGGCGUAAAGAGCUCGUAGGCGGUUUGUCGCGUCUGCUGUGAAAUCCCGAGGCUCAACCUCGGGCUUGCAGUGGGUACGGGCAGACUAGGGUGCGGCAGGGGAGACUGGAAUUCCUGGUGUAGCGGUGGAAUGCGCAGAUAUCAGGAGGAACACCGGUGGCGAAGGCGGGUCUCUGGGCCGAUACUGACGCUGAGGAGCGAAAGCGUGGGGAGCGAACAGG